UUUUUGAUGGUGUUUAAUAAGUUUUCUGUGUAAAUUUAGACAGAAAAAUAAAAUAAAAUAUUUUUCAUUUUAAAUAUAGUUCAGCCAUGAAUUUGACAAUUUUCUUUUUCGCUUUUACAGCCCGCCAAGUCCACCAAGAUCCUCAAACUCGCCACGUGUGGCGCAUGUUUCAAACACAAGGGCGUUUCGUUAAACUGAAAGGCCUAACUGGGAGGGAAAACGAAGAUUAAAAUGGCGCUAAGGCGGCAAAUUUAGCUAUUUUACCAAAACCUGUCCCGUCUCUCUUCCUCAGCAGUCACUCUCCGUCGCUGCUCCAAGCGAAUGGUACGUUUCUUUGAUUCUUACCUUCAUCACCAAUCCAUGGAUGUUCGAUUGGGUUUUGGUUUUUGUGCUUCUUUUUGCUGGCUUUGAGUUCGAUUCUACUAUCUGUUGCUAUCGGCUUCAUAUCUCCUGCCUCUCUCCAGUUGAAAAUGAUGGUUUAUCUCUGGAAUUAUGUCUAAAAUGGAAUUUAUUGAAUCGUGUCUGAGCCUCUUAGCAAAACUUUAUAUGAUUUUUCUUUUUGUCCGAUAUGAAUUUAUGGUUAAAUAUAACUGGAUCCACCGAUCGGAGGUUGAAUUAUGUUUCAGGAUGCCAUUGUAGGUAUGAAUAGGUUAAUUUCCAAAAUCAUCAACAUUUAGGACUCGGUUGAAUAUUUAGAUGCUGUUUAUUGUAAACCAAGAAGGGAAGUGUGGUGUUUGGAGAAUUGCUGCUGUUGCAGUUGCUCUAAACCUAACCAUCUCGCAUUUUUCGUUUUUCUUGUUUUCUAUCAUCAGAUUCGGAUUACCUAGCUCUUAAUUUUCUCUAUGUUUGUGUACUAUGUGAUGCGCAGUCUGUUUCAGAACAAUGGCUCAAAUUCGAGCAUAAAAUUAACGAAAUUAGUCUUGUUAAACCAUGUACAUGCUACAUUCUCUUCAGUUAUGGGAUUAUACAACUCAACUCGAAUUUUGCCUUUUUUUGGUUGUUGAUGAAAAACAGGUUACAUUCAUCGAAGUGAGGCUGUUGGUUAUUGUCGCCUGAGCACUCUCAUAUAGUCAUCUGUGCUUUCUGGGAACGGUGGUGGUUAUUUUAAGGCACCAUUUGCGAAUCAUUAGAAUUCUUGCCUUUUGCCUUGUUUAACUUGCUGGCGGGGAAAUGCAGCCUGGCUAUCAAAGGACGAGGUGCCCGUGUCUUCUGGUCAAAUCCUCUCACGCAAACAUAUCCUACAAUCCAUCAACGUGCACAAUUAAGGAACAGGUUUGCAGAUGUAUAUUAUUGACAAGCGAUCACAGUUAAGUCCAAUUAGGAAGAAAAGGUUAACCAUUUUAGUAAAAAUAUUAAUUUUGAAACGUUUUCGUACAUUUAGAAAAGGAAGACUUAAACUAAUAUGCACGGACGCACAUAUAAUAACAUGUGUGCUUUUGAUGAAGGUUAAUGUCAAUGAUCUUAUGAUCAUGUUGGCUAUGGAUUGAUAAUUGCAUGUGAGAAUUUCAAUCUAUGUUAUUAUAGCCAUUCUCUCUCUCCAGUCACUGCACUAGGCGCACCAACUGGUGCUUGCAUGUGGGGUGGAUGUGCAUACGUACAGGUUUAGACACAGGUAAGAGCUUUUUCAAAAAUAAGAGUGCCGGAGUCGAUAUUCAACAGUCAUAAUGUGUCAAACCUACACGUUCUACACUAUUAGUAUCGCGCAUGUCAAACAAUACUCUAUUAGUAUCGAGCAUGUCAAAUAAUACAAGACAUGUUCGAAUAUGUCCCUUCUGCCGUGGAACAUUGACUCACCCACCCUGUAUUUUAAAAUAUUUUUCAGCUCACCCCAGUUUUGAAAUUAUUUUCUCCUCACCCUGAUUUGAAAAACAGUUCCACAGGUGAUAGGUUUCCCAUGAAUCCCAUUUAAGAGAGAUCGAAAGCUUUGAAACGUAGAUGUUGUCAGCUGUGCGUGUGCUUUGAUUUUUCAUGUUUUAUUGCAACAUCAACAGGUCAGAUAAUAAGUUGUUCCAUCUGAAAUAAAGUUUAAUUUGGCCACGUCUUACUCAGAAAUUAUAUAAAAUGAUAACAUAUUGAAGAUGCCUGUAUUUCCUGUCUAUUAAUGUUAGCUGAACAUAUUCAGCUGGCCUUCUUAAGGAUAAUGGAGUUGGGAAAAUUUUGUCAACUUGUGUUGAGUUUGUGUCUAUCACACAUAGAUCUGGGAUACUGGAGAAUAGAUGAUGUAAAUUACAAUACCUCCCAUGCAAAAUGUUACAAUGUGAAGGUAGGAGGCCUAAGUCGUAAUAGGGUUAGUAGGGUUAAAAAUAUAGUAAAUACAUGUAUUACAAAGUUUUACUAUCCUUCACCACUAUAUGUAAACAUAUUUACAAAGUAUGGUAUAGGUUACUUAGGUAAGUCUUAAGGCAAGCAAUGUCAUCUGUAAACGCUAAUGCUGGACAUGUUCAUUUGUCUAUAAUAUGUGGCAAGGUUUUACUAUAGUUUUGUGUGGCUAAAGAUGCAAAAUAUUCAAACCAAAGCAGGUAGGAUGACAUAAAAGUAGAGAAUCAUUACCUCUCCAAAAACAGUGUUGAAUACCUUCUGUUGUCAAACCUGAUGAACCACAGAAAAAAGGGGAGGGCCAAUGAUGUACUCAGCUAUUUGUUAGGACUAAUUGUUAUUCAUUAGGACUAUAAUCUAAUUAGAAACUUUACCUUUAAAUAUUGUUGGUAUUGAUGUCCCAAAGUAAACCGUUCGUCUUGGUAGGUUCCAUAUCCAGGUUCUAGGAACGUCAAUUGGGUUCAAACUAGAGUCAUGGUCCGCAAAAACCUGCAUAAUCAUAUUGGUAACUUUUUUUGAAGUUUUAAAAGAUGUGCAGCCCACAGAUAGGAGUUGAGUAAGUCAGUUUCAGAGUGAAUUUACCUCAUUAACUUGAAAAUAUGUGCCAUUGAGGGGAAAGCUCCCUCUCAUUGCCGUUCGACAUGGUAUCUGUUGAUGAUGUGUUAUAUUGUUUAGUGUUUGACUUGCACCGUUUCAUCAUUUCUAAGAGACGUCAAGCAAGACCAUAAUGAAAUGUUUGAAUAAAUAUUCUCACCAAAAGUGUCCCUCGAACAAUUUGUGAAUUUGCUUCACGUUUACAGUUGCAAGAGAAACAUGUCUUCUCAUCACACAAUUUGCCAUAUUCUUGCGAGUUGCAUCUACUUUCAGGUGGCUGAAUGGAAUUUGCCGUUUCACCUGAUGGGAGCAAUUAAUAAAAAAUGUACUGAACUACAUCAAGACAAUGUAAGUUUACCGUUUGCUUGACAUAAUUUGAACUCUCAAUGCAUCGGGUGCAUGACCGAGCUAAGAUUAGCCCAACACUUGGAUACUUUGGGCUUUGCAUAUCUUAUGGUUUAAAUAACCUGUCCUUUGAGCUUUUGUAUGAAAAGUAAAUAAAGGGUGGCCCAUAUUGAUAUUGGACCAUUUGUAUGAACUGCAAUUCCUUUGACUUCUUUUCAGCAUGUGACCGAUUUCUUUAAAAAAAGAAGAAAUCAACCUGGUUGGGGCUGUUUUCAACAAAUCAUUACAAUGCUAAUAAGCUUAAGCAACAUCUAAACAUUGGUAUGCUGGAAUCACUUUGGGUUUAAGUAAACUGUUCAAUGGGAAAUUAACUUGUGCAAGGAUCUUGAAAUCCAUUCUAAAAAUACCCACAAUUGUUUAAGGAAGAUAGCAGCAUAUGAAUGGAUAAUUGUAAAUAGGGUUUUUUCCUGUCGUUACCCUUCCAAAAAACAACUAUUUCUCAUGACUUUAUAAGGACAUAUGGUUCUAAGUGACCAUUGCUAAGGAGUUAUGACUCUACCUAACCAUUGCUUUAUAACUGAGUUGAACUAAGCAGUGUGUCAAGCUUGCAAGCUUUGAAGCUGGCAUUACGAAGUUAGAAUGAUUCUCUUUAUCUCUGUACAUGUGAUAUUUUUAAGAGCUCAUUCUCAAGGCCGUGGCUUGGUAUGUUUUAUUGCUAAUCAAGCAUACAAUAUUUUGAGGCUGAGUUAUUACUGAAGUUGUGGCUUGAGUCAUGUUCCUAACAGUGCAGAAAGGAAUUUACUCUCAUUGGUUUGUCUGUCUUUUACUUACCCGGUGUCCAUAUAGCAAGAAGGUAAGAGCAUGGAUCAUCAGGUUCUCGUCUAUCCAACUGAAGUAGAAUCAGAAGAUUUUCAUUAGGAAAGGAAUUUGGUUAAUGUGUGGCAAAUUAAUAGCCUUGUUUAGCUGGAUGCAAUGACUAACCCCUUGCAGAAGAGGGUGGCUGUCUGGAAGUUCGUAACUGCAUGUGGCAAAAGGGGAAAAAAAAUUAGUAUACGAUAGAAGGAUUGGUCCCAUUAGCAUAAUCAACCAAAAAUUUGUUGGAAUCAAUUUGCUUUGUGUGCUCAAUGGUGGAUAUUUUUGCUUAUUAUCAUUACAUUCUUUGGCGGACUGCUCUGCUUUUCUUGUCUUUGUCCAUAGAAUAAGGAUUAACAGCUAAUUUUUCAAGUAUAUUCUUUUUUUUUUCCCUCAGUUUCAGGCCAAUAAAGUUAAACCUCAUAAACGUGCAAGGUCCAAUGGAUAAUCAUUCCUAAUCCAUUUGAAUUAUGACAUUUGGAAAUACCAAUUCAUAACUGUUCUAAUAAGGGAGAUGACUACUUACACUUGGUGCUCUGUUCGCAGCCGACUUACAUGCUUGAGCUUGGGUGUGGGAAUGGAAGCUGCUUCCGAUGUCAGAGCAACCAACGCUUUUGACAUAUCACCUUCUUGAAGUUCCAUAUUUUCUUGCAUGUAGUUCUGCAAAUUUUGAGUGAACUCUUCAAUAUUCAGUUUGAUUGUCGGAAUUUCAUCAGGAUCCUCACAGAAGGUAUCUUCCAUAUCAGCUUCUGUGACUUGAGGGCAUUCUGGUUCUGGUGAUGAUGGCUCUUCAACAAUAGGUUCACAAUUAAUGACUGCAAGAUAUCUGUUGGAUUCUGACUGCUGAUUUCCUUCUGAUGGUUUAGUGGCCUGGGGUAGCGGCAGUGGCAGUUGAUCACUCAUCACAGUAGGGUUUUGCUUAACUGUCCUGUUUUCAGUUGCACUCACUAUACCUUUUUCUUCUGGCCCAGGUAAGGCGAGUCUUGCACUGCACUCAACAUGGUUC
rnacentral:lncRNA from 1 species